rnacentral:rRNA from 1 species
AUGCCGGCCGGGGGCGUCGGCGUGCAGGCGCCCGAGGCGUCGCCGGGGCGCUACGUGCGGCGGGUCGACGAGGUGCCGCCCGACGACGACGGCUGCGACGGCGUCUUCGGGGUCGACGUGCGGGGACCCGGGGACAACGACCCCUUCGACAUCCCCGCCAAACGCGCGCCCGUCGAGCGGCUACGGCGGUGGAGGCAAGCUGCACUUGUGCUCAAUGCAUCUCGGCGAUUCAGAUAUACACUCGACUUGAAAAAGGAGGAAGAAAAAGAACAAAUAAGGAGGAAGAUUAGGGCUCAUGCUCAAGUCAUACGGGCUGCACUACUGUUCAAGGAAGCAGGAGAAAAGCAGAAUGGUGAUACGGAAUUACCAGAAAUUCUCCCACGGGGGUUUGGAAUUGGAGAGGAUCAACUUACAUCGAUGACAAGGGAUCAUAACUAUUCCGCUCUGCAAGAAUAUGGAGGGGUUAAAGGGCUCACAAAUUUACUGAAAACAAACCCAGAGAAGGGGAUCCAUGGUGAUGAAGCAGAUUUGUCAUGUAGGGCGAAUGCUUUUGGGGCUAACAGAUAUCCUCGCAAGAAAGGAAAAAGCUUCUGGGUUUUUCUCUGGGAGGCCUGCAAGGACUUGACAUUGGUUAUCCUUAUUGUAGCUGCAGCCAUUUCUCUUGUAUUGGGCAUCGCAACAGAGGGCAUCAAGGAAGGAUGGUAUGAUGGUGCAAGUAUAGCAUUUGCUGUCUUUCUUGUGAUACUUGUUACUGCUGUCAGUGAUUACAAACAGUCCCUUCAGUUCCAACACCUCAAUGAGGAGAAACAAAAUAUUCAAGUCGAGGUUAUUAGGGGUGGUAGAAGGAUUCAAGUGUCGAUCUUUGAUAUUGUUGUUGGUGAUGUAGUAGCUUUAAAAAUUGGUGAUCAGGUUCCAGCAGAUGGCAUUUUAAUUAGUGGCCAUUCUCUUGCCAUUGAUGAAUCCAGUAUGACCGGGGAAAGCAAAAUUGUUUUGAAGGAUCAGAAGUCACCUUUUCUAAUGGGAGGAUGCAAAGUAGCUGAUGGUUAUGGUACCAUGUUGGUAACUGCGGUUGGUCUAAACACUGAAUGGGGUCUAUUAAUGGCCAGCAUUUCAGAAGAUAAUAAUGAAGAGACACCAUUGCAGGUGCGGUUGAAUGGAGUAGCAACAUUCAUAGGCAUUGUGGGGCUUGUUGUUGCAGCAAUGGUCCUUGUAGUCCUCUUUGCAAGAUAUUUUACAGGACAUACUACAAACGCAGAUGGUACUGUUCAGUUUGUUAAGGGGCGCACAGGUGUGAAAUCUACAAUAUUUGGAGUAAUAAAGAUACUAACUGUCGCGGUGACUAUUGUUGUCGUUGCUGUACCUGAGGGACUACCGCUGGCUGUAACACUAACCCUGGCUUAUUCAAUGCGGAAAAUGAUGGCAGACAAAGCGCUGGUGAGGAGGCUUUCAGCUUGUGAAACGAUGGGUUCUGCUACAACAAUUUGUAGUGACAAGACCGGUACAUUAACGCUCAAUCAGAUGACUGUGGUGCGAUCAAUAGUUGGGGCGAUAGAGCUGCAACCUCAGGCUACUAUUGACAAGUUGUCACCUACAGUUACCUCUCUUGUACUUGAAGCAAUUGCACAGAAUACUUCAGGCAGUGUGUUUGAGCCAGAGGUGAUGCCACAUGAUGGUAGCACCGUCGAGGUAACAGGCUCACCAACUGAAAAGGCAAUCCUUUCUUGGGGUCUUGAGCUUCAUAUGAAAUUUGCCGUGGAGAGAUCAAAAUCUGCUAUCAUUCAUGUCUCUCCAUUCAACUCAGAAAAAAAACGCGGAGGCGUUGCAGUGAUUGGGAGAGAUUCAGAUGUUCAUGUGCAUUGGAAAGGAGCUGCGGAAAUAGUUCUCGCGUUAUGUACAAAUUGGCUCUAUGUAGACGGCUCAACUCAUGAAAUGACAUCUGAUAAGGCUAAUCACUUCAGGAAAUACAUAGAAGAUAUGGCGGAGCAAAGUCUUCGUUGUGUUGCUUUUGCUUAUAGAAAUCUUGAUCCGAAGGACAUUCCAAGUGAGGAACAAAGAAUUAAUUGGGAGUUGCCUGAUAAUGACCUGACUCUUAUUGGAAUUGUGGGGAUGAAGGACCCUUGCCGUCCUGGAGUGAGAGAUGCUGUUGAGCUGUGCACCAAUUCUGGUGUUAAGGUACGGAUGGUAACUGGAGAUAAUCUGCAGACAGCUAGAGCAAUAGCACUUGAGUGUGGAAUACUUACUGACCCCCAGGCUUCUGCACCAGUUAUAAUAGAGGGAAAAGUUUUCCGUGCAUACAGUGAUGCCGAAAGGGAGGCGGUUGCCGACAAGAUAUCUGUGAUGGGAAGAUCCUCUCCGAAUGAUAAGCUUCUUCUUGUAAAAGCACUGAAGAAGAACGGCCAUGUUGUGGCUGUUACUGGAGAUGGGACAAACGAUGCCCCUGCAUUGCAUGAGGCAGAUAUUGGUCUUUCUAUGGGUAUCCAAGGAACAGAAGUAGCUAAAGAGAGCUCAGACAUAAUUAUUCUGGAUGAUAAUUUUGCUUCGGUCGUGAAGGUGGUCCGCUGGGGUCGUUCUGUUUAUGCAAAUAUCCAAAAGUUCAUUCAAUUCCAGCUUACAGUAAAUGUUGCGGCUCUAAUAAUCAAUGUGGUUGCUGCUAUUUCCUCGGGCAAUGUUCCUCUAAAUGCUGUUCAGCUUCUCUGGGUUAAUCUCAUAAUGGACACACUCGGUGCACUUGCAUUGGCUACUGAACCACCAACGGACCAGCUUAUGAAAAGGACACCUGUUGGACGGAGAGAACCUCUUGUGACUAAUAUUAUGUGGAGAAACUUGUUCAUUCAGGCUGUCUAUCAAGUGGCUGUUCUUUUGACGCUUAACUUUAGGGGCCGAGAUCUUCUGCAUUUGACUCGAGAUACCCUCGAACACUCCAGUAAAGUGAAAAAUUCAUUUAUAUUCAACACAUUUGUCCUGUGUCAGGUGUUUAACGAGUUCAAUGCACGUAAACCAGAAGAGCUGAACAUAUUUGAAGGAGUUUCAAGAAACCACCUCUUUUUGGCCGUUGUGAGCGUAACCGUUGUGCUGCAGGUGAUAAUUAUUGAGUUCCUUGGGAAAUUUACAUCAACAGUGAGACUCAGUUGGCAGCUUUGGCUUGUUUCUCUUGCUAUUGCUUUUAUCAGCUGGCCGCUGGCUCUUGUUGGAAAGUUCAUUCCAGUUCCCCAGACCCCAUUGAAGAAUUUGAUCCUGAAGUGUUGGCCAAAAAAGAAGAAGCAAGGUGAUGAAGGAGCAGCUCCACCGGUGUGA